GUCAACUUGGUUUUCUUAGUUAUCAACUGUUGAAUGUUGUCAUUUUUUAUAUUGUCUUUAAUUGGAUUUUUUAAAAAUGACUGGCUUUUCGCCCACAGUUGAUGGAGAAGGGUAAUCUCAGAUCUCGCCCCUUUCAGACCCACUGGGGUAAUAUUGCUGCUUUCUGCCACUAAGAUGCUUCCUCUGCACUGAAGCAUCUCAUCACGUGGGUGUCAGCUCCUCUCUGGCCUUUUCUAGGAACUGGUUCACCUCUCCUUAACUUCACACUUCUUCUUAGUUACCAAUGUACUUAUAUUUGCAGGGCCUGAUUUGACUUUGGGAUGCCGUUGCCACCACAGACUAGACAUGAAAGCCCUAUAACUUAAGACAACCUCUGUACAUAUGCAACGCUCUCUGCCCUAUUCAACAAGGUCUUUUCUUCCUUGGGUCAUCGAAAGGAACGGGGUUUCCUGCCCAGGCCUUCAGUAUGAGUUUGUAUACCUCAGGCACCAGCAUGGCUGGGACAGAUGUCUUAAUCCUGACCAUAAGCAAACAAGCCAGGUACAGUUCCUGGUCCUGCAGGUGACCUAAGACAUCACUUUCCCAAUGAGCAGGUGUUCUCCUUGGAUGCUUGGAGAGGUACCACAGAGCCAGCCUUCACAGGACUGGGCCAGUAGUCAAGUCCCCGCUGUUUGUGGGCUUGCAGAUGCUCGGUUUCUGGAGGUCACUGUGUUCUGGAGCUGUUUUGAGUGACGCCAAGGAGGACCAUGAGGCUUCUCAGGCAUGGGCAUGGAUCUUUACCCACUAGCAGUUCUGUGGCUCUCUUGUCCAUUUGACUCACAAAAUAGUAGUGGCUUCAGGAGGCUCCUGCAAUGACAGUCCUGUUUAAGUCUAUUUUUACAAUAAAACAUCAUAUAUUUUUAAUUCCUUUG
rnacentral:lncRNA from 1 species